rnacentral:rRNA from 1 species
CCCUUAGAUGUCCUGGGCCGCACGCGUGCUACACUGACGCCUACAGCGAGUACUUCCCAGCCCCGAGAGGUGGCUGGUAAUCAGCAAUAGGCGUCGUGAUGGGGAUAGAUCUUUGGAAUUAUGGAUCUUGAACGAGGAAUGCCUAGUAAGCGCAGGUCAUUAGCCUGCGCUGAUUAAGUCCCUGCCCUUUGUACACACCGCCCGUCGCUCCUACCGAUUUCGAGUGGUCCGGUGAAUCUUUCGGACUGCGCGCGGCCUCGUGCCGUGUCGCGGAAAGUCAGGUAAACCUUAUCACUUAGAGGAGGGAGAAGUCGUAACA